UACGUAGGGCGCAAGCGUUGUCCGGAAUUAUUGGGCGUAAAGGGCUCGUAGGCGGUUUGUCGCGUCGGGAGUGAAAACCAUGGGCUUAACUCAUGGCUUGCUUCCGAUACGGGCAGACUAGAGGUAUGCAGGGGAGAACGGAAUUCCUGGUGUAGCGGUGAAAUGCGCAGAUAUCAGGAGGAACACCGGUGGCGAAGGCGGUUCUCUGGGCAUUACCUGACGCUGAGGAGCGAAAGUGUGGGGAGCGAACAGG
rnacentral:rRNA from 1 species